UUUCAGGGUACUGUUUCUAAGCAUGCAAGGGCGAACGACUAUGUUUGUUUUGUUUGAUUUAUUAUAAUCAUCUUGGUCACGUGAAGCCAGACCAGCCAGGUGGCUCAUAAUGGACCAGUAGACUCAGCAAAAAGAGUGCGGAGGGCAUUUUUGCAAAACAUGUUGCAUGUACGGGCUGCUUUUGGCUCGGCAAGGGCAUCAUGCCUUGGAAUUGGCAAGGCCACUAUUAUUGAGGCGUGAAAGGGCGGCACAAGGAAGUAGCUGCAGCAGUAGAAUGAUCGGUCAUGAUCUCUGGUUGGGGUGUUACACUGUGGGCGGCUCGCCCCGAGAAAAGGACGAGCACCGGGGUCCCUGACCGGGGGCCGAAACACAGCGCAGGGGCAGGCGCGCGGCUCUACGUCCGUCUGUUCAAACUCCGCGCGCGCCUCACCCCCUCACUCACGCCAACCGGGACGCUCUCCCAGCCCCUGGCUAGGCAACGCAGCGGCGCAGAAGACUGCAAACCGAAUUAAGCGAGAGCCGCACGAGAGGCGCCACACCACCUCUGGGAGACCUAAACAAGCAAUCUGGCCCCACUACGCCUGGCCAGCCUAAUCCGCGUUCUCGUCUCUCUUUGACCGCCAAAACAAGAACAAAGAGAAAACACCACCGGGGGCAGGGGCUCUACUCAGGGGGCUCCACUACACACUAAAAAAACCGAGGCAAGGGAAGACCUAUCCUCGUCAGGUACGGCCCCUCAGCAGUAUCCUCUGUUGGGACUGUAACGGCAUUUCUUCACGCUUCGCGAAACACUGCACGCGGCCCUUCUCUAGCUUCUUCACCACCCGCCAACGCUUCUUACGUUGUUUUACGGCCAUCGCGCAUUAUAGAGCAGUAGGAAGCUUGCUAGCAAAUGCAGAUAAAUUGUGCUCUCACUUUUGUGAGCGCAUCAUGCAAUUUUUUUCUCUAUU
rnacentral:lncRNA from 1 species